CAAUAGCGUAUAUUAAAGUUGUUGCGGUUAAAAGCUCGUAGUUGGAUUUCUGGCAGCGUGACUCCGGCCGGCAUGACGUCGGGUCCAGAGCGCGCUACCAUCCUUCUGUCAACCUUCGCGGGAUUUGUUUCCCGCCCUGGGGCUCAGAUAUUUUACCUUGAGAAAAUUAGAGUGUUUCAGGCAGGCUUUCGCCGGAAUACAUUAGCAUGGAAUAAUAGAAAAGGACUUCAACCUCUUCUGUUGGUCUGAGAGGCUGUAGUAAUGAUUAAUAGGGAUAGUUGGGGGCGAUUAUACUUGACUGUCAGAGGUGAAAUUCUCCGAUUGUUAAAGACUAACUUAUGCGAAAGCAUUUGCCAAGGAUGUUUUCAUUAAUCAAGAACGAAAGUUAGGGGAGUCAAAGAUG
rnacentral:rRNA from 1 species